AUAACGGCAGCGUACACAUGCAAGUCGAGCGGUAACAGAUCUAGCUUGCUACCCGCUGACGAGCGGCGGACGGGUGAGUAAUGCAUAGGAAUCUGCCCGGUAGUGGGGGAUAACCUGGGGAAACCCAGGCUAAUACCGCAUACGUCCUACGGGAGAAAGGGGGCUUUGGCUCCCGCUAUUGGAUGAGCCUAUGUCGGAUUAGCUGGUUGGUGAGGUAAUGGCUCACCAAGGCGACGAUCCGUAGCUGGUCUGAGAGGAUGAUCAGCCACAUCGGGACUGAGACACGGCCCGAACUCCUACGGGAGGCAGCAGUGGGGAAUAUUGGACAAUGGGGGGAACCCUGAUCCAGCCAUGCCGCGUGUGUGAAGAAGGCCCUCGGGUUGUAAAGCACUUUCAGCGAGGAAGAACGCCUGGUGGUUAAUACCCAUCAGGAAAGACAUCACUCGCAGAAGAAGCACCGGCUAACUCCGUGCCAGCAGCCGCGGUAAUACGGAGGGUGCAAGCGUUAAUCGGAAUUACUGGGCGUAAAGCGCGCGUAGGUGGCUUGAUAAGCCGGUUGUGAAAGCCCCGGGCUCAACCUGGGAACGGCAUCCGGAACUG
rnacentral:rRNA from 1 species